rnacentral:lncRNA from 1 species
AGAACUUUAGUAAGAGACAAUAAAUCACACUUCUCACAUUUUGAAAGAUAAACAUUGUUAACAUUCAACUGCCUCCCCUUUGGGAAAAAAAAGAGCAGGUGCCUUGAAUAAUAGAGAAAUUUUAGCCAGUGACAUCCCAAUAAUCAAGAAAGUCAUUUUUUUGAAUUGCAAAUACAAUAAACUUCCUUGAUCCUAUCCUUUCUGCACACGCUUCAGAGUUUUCAUGGCUAUCCCACUACCGUCAUCUCUGGUGGACAACGUAUCAAAGCACAUAAAAAAAUGAUGAGGAAAAUGGAUCAUGUAACAAUUAAAGAAGGAUUAUAGAACAAUCUCAAUUUACGAGCCUACUAUAAUUCUUAUAUAGUAUAAUAAGCCAGCAAUUAUUAAAUUUUCAAGAACAUGCUGACAUAGUUAAUGCCGUCUGGAGGUGUACUAAAAGGAUUUACAAGAGAAGACAAAAAUUAUAGCCUUCACUGAGAAACAAUGAAAUGUCAUCUAAUGACAUGUAAUGUUGGGAAUUUAUUUAAUUAUGCACAGCGGAAAAUAAAAUAAAUUUCAAUUCCCACUGAAGAUCUACUUUGUAAUUAGAUAAAAACUGUGAUAGAAAUUGUACCUCUUGCGAAAUCUACAAAGUCCUUUGCUUUUCUUUUGUUCCAGUAAUCUUGAUUUGUCGCCCACAUUUGUCCAGCUAUCCAAUUGUCCAACUUUCAAUGGAAUUCCACACGAGGAACAAGAUUGUAUGAGAACUAGGGUUUUCUGCUCUUGUACUGGCACGAAAAUUAGA